rnacentral:rRNA from 1 species
CAAUAGCGUAUAUUAAAGUUGUUGCGGUAAAAAAGCUCGUAGUUGGAUUUCUACCGAAGAUAGCCGGUCGGGUCUUCGACCUUGUAUCUGGUUUUGUCUUUGGUAUCCUCAUAGGGAACGUUUCUGCGCUUUAUUGCGUGGUGCGGUAUCUAUGACUUUUACUUUGAGGAAAUUAGAGUGUUCACGGCAGGCAAACGCCUUGAAUAUAUUAGCAUGGAAUAGUAACAUAGGAUCUUCGUCCUAUUUUGUUGGUUUCUAGGGCUAAGAUAAUGAUUAAUAGGGUUAAUUGGGGGCAUCUGUAUCAACGCGUCAGAGGUGGAAUUCUUGGAUUGCGUUGCGACAAACUACUGCGAAAGCAUUUGCCAAGGAUGUUUUCAUUGA